rnacentral:tRNA from 1 species
AGCGGAGUAGAGCAUUUUGGCAGCUCAUGAGGCUCAUAACCUUGAGGUCACAUAGUUCCAUUCCCAUCUUCGC